AGAGUUUGAUCCUGGCUCAGGACGAACGCUGGCGGCGUGCUUAACACAUGCAAGUCGAACGAGACGAUUGAAAGCUUGCUUUUGAAAGUCGAGUGGCAAACGGGUGAGUAACGCGUAGACAACCUGCCGUAAAGAUGGGGACAACAGUCCGAAAGGACUGCUAAUACCGAAUGUUGUAAAUCUUCCGCAUGGAAGACUUACUAAAGGUGGCCUCUACUUGUAAGCUAUCGCUUUACGAUGGGUCUGCGUCUGAUUAGCUGGUUGGUGGGGUAACGGCCUACCAAGGCGACGAUCAGUAGCCGGUCUGAGAGGAUGAACGGCCACAUUGGAACUGAGACACGGUCCAGACUCCUACGGGAGGCAGCAGUGGGGAAUCUUCCGCAAUGGGCGCAAGCCUGACGGAGCAACGCCGCGUGAGUGAAGAAGGGUUUCGACUCGUAAAGCUCUGUUGUCGGGGACGAACGUGGAGACGGCAAAUAGUCGUUUCCAAUGACGGUACCUGACGAGGAAGCCACGGCUAACUACGUGCCAGCAGCCGCGGUAAUACGUAGGUGGCGAGCGUUGUCCGGAAUUAUUGGGCGUAAAGGGAGCGCAGGCGGGAAGGUAAGUCUAUCUUAAAAGUGCGGGGCUCAACCCCGUGAGGGGAUGGAAACUAUCUUUCUUGAGUGCAGGAGAGGAAAGCGGAAUUCCUAGUGUAGCGGUGAAAUGCGUAGAUAUUAGGAGGAACACCAGUGGCGAAGGCGGCUUUCUGGACUGUAACUGACGCUGAGGCUCGAAAGCGUGGGGAGCGAACAGGAUUAGAUACCCUGGUAGUCCACGCCGUAAACGAUGAAUGCUAGGUGUAGGAGGUAUCGACCCCUUCUGUGCCGGAGUUAACGCAAUAAGCAUUCCGCCUGGGGAGUACGGCCGCAAGGCUGAAACUCAAAGGAAUUGACGGGGGCCCGCACAAGCGGUGGAGUAUGUGGUUUAAUUCGACGCAACGCGAAGAACCUUACCAGGGCUUGACAUUGAGUGAAAGGACAAGAGAUUGUCCCCUCUCUUCGGAGACACGAAAACAGGUGGUGCAUGGCUGUCGUCAGCUCGUGUCGUGAGAUGUUGGGUUAAGUCCC
rnacentral:rRNA from 1 species